rnacentral:tRNA from 1 species
AAGGAUUUAGCUUAAUUAAAGUAUCUGAUUUGCGUUCAGGUGAUGCAAGAUAAAGGCUUGUAAUUCUU